ensembl:lncRNA
GCACAGAGUCAAUUUUGUAUUUAAUUUCAUCAAUGUACUUUUACUGCACAAAACUAUACCUGUGGCAAGUAGAAUAACUUUUCUCACUAUGGUAACACUUUACAUUUUCUGUAAAUCUGGUACCCUCCCUUUUGAUAAAAUUAAUUUUUGAAUACUUUGGAGAAGGUUUAACAUUACAUACAUCUUCAGUACUUCAUAUCAAUUAAACAUGAAUUAAGGCACUAUAAUUUCCUCAUUAUAAAACACCAGCAUCAAACAACAGGACAAGGUUGUCACUUUUCAUCAGUGAAGCAUUUUUACAGACACCAACCACUACAUAUCAUCUACUCUGCCUCAUCAUACUCAUUCUUUCUUCAGUUCACCUCAUCCAGUUCCAAAUAUAGUACCACAGUAUGAGUCAUAAUACCCAUAUAACCUAGCGGUCAAACAAGUACAUUUUUCCAGUUGUUUUUCCACCAUUCAUUUUCCCCAUAGGGGAUAUAAGAAACACUACAAAUAAGGGCUGUGUUUCGUGUAGACUUACCCUGACGUGACGUUUUGAUAACUGUAAAUCUCUCUAGGACAAGGUGACUUAAUAUUUUUGCCAGUAUUUAACCCCCAAAAUAAAUUGCUAAUGUGGCUAUCAUAAAGAACUACAAAUACCAUGAUGAUCUGGACGAGACUGCUGAAUUGAGGCAAAGCAGAUCAGGCUUCACAUCCUCCAAGUCUACUGACUGUAAGAGGUACAGAGUGAGAUGUUGGAUCAAGAAAUCUGAUAUGAGCACCCUGCUAUGGAGCAUCUUCUCAUUGGACAAUGGGAAAAAAAAGGUAAGGGCAUGGAUCAGAAAACCAGUCCGUAUCUGGUGUGACUACCAUUUGCCUCAUGCAGUUUAUACAUCUCCUUCGCAUAGAGUUGAUCAGACUGUUUAUUGUGGCCUGUGGAAGGUUGUUCCACUCCUCUUCAAAUACUGUCCGAAGUUGCUGGAUAUUGGCGGGAACUGGAACACGGGCACAUCGUGCACCACUCCCUAGCAUUCUUCUUGCCAAUGUCCAGUCUCUUGACAACAAGGUUGAUGAAAUCCGAGCAAGGGUAGCAUUCCAGAGGGACAUCAGAGACUGUAACGUUCUCUGCUUCACGGAAACAUGG